rnacentral:lncRNA from 1 species
GUUAAUCCUUCCACUAAGGAAAAUCAGUAAUUUGCUUUUUUUCAUCCUACAAAACGAAGGCAUCCUCAGACAGGCUCAUUCAUGUUCUCCCCAUGAAUGCAGUUGAGUUUGAAAGUCUUGUUUGCAAUGAAUAAGCCAAACUCCUAUUUGAGUCUCUUUCCAUUUCAGACAUCCAGGAUAAAAUGUAAUUUCUCCUACCAGUUUCUCAUAUAACCAAAAAUAUUAAUAAUACUCCAAGUUCAAAGUCUUGAAAUACAAACCCUUGCUUUGACUUAGGAGUUUUGACAAACUAACGAAACUCGGAAAGAAAAGAGAGCCAAAAAAAAAAAAAAAAAAAAGGACUUCUUGCAGCCAAGAUGCCCAACACCCCACCAUCAGACCUGGGAAAUUAUGCCAGGCUGACAGUUUCAUCCUCCGUCCAGUGAAGGAAAUGACACGAUGCCAAUUUCUCCUUCCCGAGUGCCCACAGCACUUACAGUCUCUUCCACACAUUUUGACCCACGGUCCUUUUCAAUUCAGCACUCUGCUAGACGGCCUUUUUAUACUCCACUGGAUUUAUUUUAAGUCUUGAAGGCUCAAAAACUUUAUAAGCUCCUCCAUGAAAGAAACCUUGCCAUGCCCUUCUUUUGCAACCUCCUAAUAGCGUUCUAGUAGAAGAGCUUGAAUUUAAAUUAAAUGAUCCAUAUCCAAAACCAGUUCUACGACUUAACCCUUACUCCCAAGGACUCACUACUCUACCGCUAUAAUUUAAGCCUGCCUCACUGUUCUCUGUCCUCCUGGGACUUGCAGCUCCACUAACGCCUAUCAUCCAAAUGAAAGCCCUGCAUGAACUUGAGAACAAUUAAGUUAGAACUUAGCCUCCCCUCUUCUGUUCUUUCAAUCCAUUACAUUCUUAGUCAUUAGUGGCUUUUGAACAGCUGCCAUCCCCUUUCAAGAUUUACAAUUCUCCCCACCCUGUCACUUGGAGCCUAUGUCCUUGAUUCUCUCAGCUUUUCAAAGCCAUUAUUAAGGAAAGCCUCCUGGUAUGUGGAGGGGAGAUGUGGAUGCUCUAAGGCACUGCCUUUCAAACUUGAACCAGCAUUAGAAAAACCU